rnacentral:rRNA from 1 species
GUGGGGAUCUCGGGUAGUGGCGGACGGGUGAGUAACACGUGGGAACGUGCCUUUAGGUUCGGAAUAACUCAGGGAAACUUGUGCUAAUACCGAAUGUGCCCUUCGGGGGAAAGAUUUAUCGCCUUUAGAGCGGCCCGCGUCUGAUUAGCUAGUUGGUGAGGUAAAGGCUCACCAAGGCGACGAUCAGUAGCUGGUCUGAGAGGAUGAUCAGCCACAUUGGGACUGAGACACGGCCCAAACUCCUACGGGAGGCAGCAGUGGGGAAUCUUGCGCAAUGGGCGAAAGCCUGACGCAGCCAUGCCGCGUGAAUGAUGAAGGUCUUAGGAUUGUAAAAUUCUUUCACCGGGGACGAUAAUGACGGUACCCGGAGAAGAAGCCCCGGCUAACUUCGUGCCAGCAGCCGCGGUAAUACGAAGGGGGCUAGCGUUGCUCGGAAUUACUGGGCGUAAAGGGAGCGUAGGCGGACAUUUAAGUCAGGGGUGAAAUCCCGGGGCUCAACCUCGGAAUUGCCUUUGAUACUGGGUGUCUUGAGUAUGAGAGAGGUGUGUGGAACUCCGAGUGUAGAGGUGAAAUUCGUAGAUAUUCGGAAGAACACCAGUGGCGAAGGCGACACACUGGCUCAUUACUGACGCUGAGGCUCGAAAGCGUGG